UACAGAGGUCCCAAGCGUUGUUCGGAUUCACUGGGCGUAAAGGGUGCGUAGGUGGUGAGGUAAGUCGGAUGUGAAAUCUCGGAGCUCAACUCCGAAAUGGCAUUGGAAACUACCUUGCUCGAGGGAUGGAGGGGGGACUGGAAUUCUCGGUGUAGCAGUGAAAUGCGUAGAUAUCGAGAGGAACACCAGUGGCGAAGGCGAGUCCCUGGACGAUCUCCUGACACUGAGGCACGAAAGCUAGGGGAGCAAACAGG
rnacentral:rRNA from 1 species